rnacentral:tRNA from 1 species
UGCCUUAUAGUUUAGUGGUAGAACUGCUGACUCUGGAUCAGCUGACACUGGUUCGAAUCCAGUUAAGGCAUCCA